rnacentral:rRNA from 1 species
GACGAACCAUCCAACCGUUAUUCGGAAUUACUGGGCUUAAAGGGUGCGUAGGCUGCGCAGAAAGUUGGGUGUGAAAUCCCUCGGCUUAACCGAGGAACUGCGCCCAAAACUACUGUGCUUGAGGGAGACAGAGGUGAGCGGAACCUAGGGUGGAGCGGUGAAAUGCGUUGAUAUCCUAAGGAACACCCGUGGCGAAAGCGGCUCACUGGGUCUCUUCUGACGCUGAUGCACGAAAGCUAGGGGAGCGAACGGG